GCAUAACGCGAAGAACCUUACCUAGGCUUGACAUGCAUCUCUAAGCACGUGAAAGCGUGUGACCCUUCGGGGAAUUUGCACAGGUGCUGCAUGGCCGUCGUCAGCUCGUGUCGUGAGAUGUUGGGUUAAGUCCCGCAACGAGCGCAACCCUUGUGACUAGUUGCCAGCACGUCAUGGUGGGAACUCUAGUCAGACUGCCCAGAUCAACUGGGAGGAAGGUGGGGACGACGUCAGGUCAGUAUGGCCCUUACGCCUAGGGCUGCACACGUACUACAAUGCCCAGCACAAUGAGAACCGAAACCGCGAGGUGGAGGAAAUCUAAAAAACUGGGCCCAGUUCGGAUUGGAGGCUGCAACUCGCCUCCAUGAAGUUGGAAUCGCUAGUAAUGGCGCAUCAUCUACGGCGCCGUGAAUACGUUCCCGGGUCUUGUACACACCG
rnacentral:rRNA from 1 species